NNUACACCGGCGACCUCCUGCGCAUCAAGAGCAUCUUCAAGGACGAGAGCGCCGCUAACCUGGUCGUGGAGACGGUCAGCGAGGAGCUGGUGUGGUCGCCCGAGCUGGGUAGGGGGCCGGGGGGGUGCUGGGGGCCGCAGGCCCCCUCGGUGCCUCCUGUGAGUAACAGGAGGAGCCGGGGGGCAGAAAGGAGCCAGGCAGCGUGGGGACAGGCAAAGACAGGAGGGGACAGGACUCCUGGGUCCUUUGGGGCAGGGGGGGACUCCCGGGCCCUCCCCUUGGUGAGUGGGGGGGAGCCUGGGCUUGCUCCCCAGGGUGCUUUUCUUGCAGGGAAAGAGGCAGCAGGACGCCUGGGUCCUUUCCUUGCGUGGGAGGAGGGGCAGGACGCCUGGGUCCCCAGCUGGCCCCAAGCCCGGGCUGGGCUCGGUGCGCCCCACGGCAGCGGCCCGGGGCGGGGCGGGAGGUGGGGUGGGGGAUCGGGCAGGCGGAUAACCCCCGCGCGUCCCGCAGGGCUGUGGGUGCUGAGCCCCCGCACCAAGCAGACGUCGCCGCUGCGCAUCGCGGCCGGCCGGGGCUACGGGGACUGCGCACGGCACCUGCUCCUGCAGGGCGCCGAGGUGGACGCCGUGGUGGGCGGCCGGGCGGCCCUGCACGACAGCGUGGCCGGCGGCCGCCUCGACUGCGCCCGCCUGCUGCUCGCCUUCGGCGCCGACCCCAACGUGCUCUGCGAGGAGGGGCUGGCGCCGCUCCACCUCUGCACCGACCCCGAGAGCCUGCCGUAGGUCCUGCCCCCGAGCCCCGCCCACACGGGCCUCAUCUGCAUGCCGAGCCCCGCCCACAUGCGGUGCAUCUGCAUGCCAGCCCCCACCCAUACUGGCCUCAUCUGCAUGCAAAGCCACACCCACACUCAUCUGCAUACAUCUGCAUACCAGGCCCCACCCACACAGAUCUCAUCUGCAUACCAGGCCCCACCCACACUAGCCUCAUCUGCAUGCCAGGCCCCACCCAUAUGCAGUGCAUCUGCAUAUCAGGCCCCAUCCACAGUGGCCUCAUCUGCAUGCCAAGCCCCACCCACCCACCAGUACAUCUGCAUGCCAGGCCACACCCACACUGACCUCAUUUGCGUGACAAGCCCCACCCACACUGGCCUCAUCUGCAUGCUGGGCCCCACCCACUUGCAGCACAUCUGCAUGCCGAGCCCCACCC
rnacentral:lncRNA from 1 species